AUGUUGUGAGAGUGUGAGAGAGAUCCUUUUUUCUUUUUUUUCAAUUAAAAAUCCAAAAUGAGGUUUUGUUGGCUGAGAGAUAGAGAUUGGUGAAGUGGUCACAUGUUUGAGAGAGAAAAAGAUUCUUCUUCCCAAACUCAAGUGAUCGUUGGAAGGCAUUAGUGGAUAGGUUGCUACUCUCCUCUCCUUUCGCUACAGAUGUCUGCAGAUAGGAGGAAACAUGAGAUUCCUC
rnacentral:lncRNA from 1 species